rnacentral:tRNA from 1 species
GCCUCUGUAGCUCAAUGGAAGAGCAGUUCCGUCCUCAGGAAAGGGUUGAGGGUUCGAGUCCCUCCAGGGGCA